CCGGAUAAUAUAUUGAACCGCAUGGUUCAAUAGUGAAAGACGGUUUUGCUGUCACUUAUAGAUGGAUCCGCGCCGCAUUAGCUAGUUGGUAAGGUAACGGCUUACCAAGGCAACGAUGCGUAGCCGACCUGAGAGGGUGAUCGGCCACACUGGAACUGAGACACGGUCCAGACUCCUACGGGAGGCAGCAGUAGGGAAUCUUCCGCAAUGGGCGAAAGCCUGACGGAGCAACGCCGCGUGAGUGAUGAAGGUCUUCGGAUCGUAAAACUCUGUUAUUAGGGAAGAACAAAUGUGUAAGUAACUAUGCACGUCUUGACGGUACCUAAUCAGAAAGCCACGGCUAACUACGUGCCAGCAGCCGCGGUAAUACGUAGGUGGCAAGCGUUAUCCGGAAUUAUUGGGCGUAAAGCGCGCGUAGGC
rnacentral:rRNA from 1 species